AGCGAACGCUGGCGGCAGGCUUAACACAUGCAAGUCGAGCGGGCAUCCUUGUGGUGUCAGCGGCAGACGGGUGAGUAACGCGUGGGAACGUGCCCUUCGGUUCGGAAUAACUCAGGGAAACUUGAGCUAAUACCGGAUACGUGCGAGAGCAGAAAGGUUUAUCUGCCGAAGGAUCGGCCCGCGUCUGAUUAGCUAGUUGGUGAGGUUAUGGCUCACCAAGGCGACGAUCAGUAGCUGGUCUGAGAGGAUGAUCAGCCACACUGGGACUGAGACACGCCCCAGACUCCUACGGGAGGCAGCAGUGGGGAAUAUUGGACAAUGGGGGCAACCCUGAUCCAGCCAUGCCGCGUGAGUGAUGACGGCCUUAGGGUUGUAAAGCUCUUUUCUCCGGGACGAUAAUGACGGUACCGGAGGAAUAAGCCCCGGCUAACUUCGUG
rnacentral:rRNA from 1 species